rnacentral:misc_RNA from 1 species
GAUGAAGAACGCAGCGAAAUGCGAUAAGUAAUGCGAAUUGCAGAAUUCAGUGAGUCAUCGAAUCUUUGAACGCACAUUGCGCCCUGUGGUAUUCCGCAGGGCAUGCCUGUUCGAGCGUCAUUUCAACCCUCAAGCCUCGAUUGGUGUUGGGCCCUGCCCGCCGCGGCCGGCCCUAAAGAUAGUGGCGGCGCCGCCUGGCCCUCAGCGUAGUACAGCUCUCGCUCCAGGGUCCGGCGGCAGCCUGCCAGAACCCCCCAACUCUGUGGUUGACCUCGGAUCAGGUAGGGAUACCCGCUGAACUUAAGCAUAUCAAUAAGCGGAGGA